UAGGGAAUCUUCCACAAUGGACGAAAGUCUGAUGGAGCAACGCCGCGUGAGCGAUGAAGGCCUUCGGGUCGUAAAGCUCUGUUGUUAGGGAAGAACAAGUACCGGAGUAACUGCCGGUACCUUGACGGUACCUAACCAGAAAGCCACGGCUAACUACGUGCCAGCAGCCGCGGUAAUACGUAGGUGGCAAGCGUUGUCCGGAAUUAUUGGGCGUAAAGCGCGCGCAGGCGGUCCUUUAAGUCUGAUGUGAAAGCCCACGGCUCAACCGUGGAGGGUCAUUGGAAACUGGGGGACUUGAGUACAGAAGAGGAAAGCGGAAUUCCACGUGUAGCGGUGAAAUGCGUAGAGAUGUGGAGGAACACCAGUGGCGAAGGCGGCUUUCUGGUCUGUAACUGACGCUGAGGCGCGAAAGCGUGGGGAGCAAACAGG
rnacentral:rRNA from 1 species